GACGGAGGUGGCAAGCGUUGCUCGGAUUUACUGGGUGUAAAGGGCAAGUAGGCGGCUGCGUAAGUCGGGUGUGAAAGCCCACGGCUCAACCGUGGAAGGGCACCCGAACCUGCGCGGCUUGAGGACAGGAGAGGCGAACGGAAUUCCCGGUGUAAGGGUGAAAUCUGUAGAGAUCGGGAGGAACACCAGUGGCGAAGGCGGUUCGCUGGCCUGUUUCUGACGCUGAGAGGCGAAAGCUAGGGGAGCAAACAGGAUUAGAAACCCCAGUAGU
rnacentral:rRNA from 1 species